CCUUGACGUUUUCAUCUCAUUUUUUUCAAAGCAAAUAAAUUAAUAACUAAAAUGAUUUAGCUCACCUUAUGAAAAUAAAUCUAAUCAUUGGUAUAAAGAGACAAUCAUAAAGUGACAAACGUCUGUAUUUAUUUUUCUGCAAUAAUCUUUGAUUUCUAAGUAGGUAUAGUAAUUAUAAAAGAAUUGGUACUAUUGAAUAUUCAUUAGGUAUGUUAUUUCAAUCUUCUGCACAAGAUCUGUUGAUGCAGAAAUGCAAGUAGAAAUGCAAGAGAGUAGAAGAAAUUGGUUCAGCCCAAUUAAAAAAUAACCACUUUUGCAGGCACAGCAAUGCAUAUUUGGAGGUACAGUGACAAUAAAGAGCAGAUGGUAAUCACAAAGUCUUUUCUGAUAACUGAGCAAUUGGUAUUUAACAAAAUGAAAGACCUGUUGCUGAAAAUGUGAACAAGACUGGUCAGACCUUUUCAAAGGCCAGAUGUUGUGCUGACAUAACAAAUACAGGAUAGAUGUUGGACUGACAUAAACUCAUUGCCUUCCAGAGAAUGUUUCUGAGUUGUAACUUGCCUGUAUAUUGCAUUUUACAUAGUAAUAAUUAUAAAACACUGUUUUUGUAAAUUUCAAUGUUGUAUAUUUAGAGUAAGAAUAUAAAAUAGAAAAUAUUUUGUUCUUGGUUCACUUACAAAUAACUCGCUGUAACUUGGCUUAGACCACUGCCAUUGACAAUCAUAUAAAAUUUAAACACAAAGAAGCAAAACUGCUCAAUUAGGUCCCAUUUAAAAUACAAUUUUGCUUACAGUCACAACAUUUUGAGCAAUAUUUGGUGUUACCUUAGGCAUGGGUCUAUAUUCCAAGCAAAAUUAUUUCAAAGGCAAGAAAAAGAAAAAUGGCAAUCAACUUCUUCCUACACAAACCUAUUUUAAUAUACAGACAGAUGUCUUAAAAAUCAUGUCAACUUCAUAGCACUACAAAUAUUUAUAUUACAUAUUUCAUUCUGAAUAUUUUUUCCCUACUCCCUAUGAAUGAAGUCAUAUAAAAGUUUGGCAUUUUGUGAAUUUCCUAGAAUUGCAGCUAAUGUUUCCUCCUCUAGGCUAACAAGUUCUGUAAUGUCUUUCACUUUAUUGAGUAUCAACCUAGCAAAAUAUACAAUCAUAUUAAAAUCUAAGAUAAGCUUCAUUUUAGUCAAUCACAAACUGUACAGUCCACAAAAGGGUCUAAAGAUUUGUAUAAAAAUUUAGAAAUACCUGUAUACAUGGUUGGUUGUAAUACAAUAAAAAUAACUGCCAGGCUUGCUAUUAUUUCUCUCUGAUGAGAGUAUCACACAAUCAGGGCUUUGGAAACAAAACACAAGGAGAGAAAGAAAAACCCAGAAAUUGACUGUUUUUUUUAAGAAUGUUUCUAAGUAAUAUUUUUUACCAUAAAAUCAAGCUAUAUGUCUACAUAAUAUAUAACACUUACCUCAGGCCUUGCCCGGAAAGGCGCUCGAUCGAGCGCGCGCGCCUAAAGCGCACCCAAAAAAAGCCUUGGAGAGCGAUUUAUAGAGCCCCUCAAAACGUUAAAACAGUAUUAACGCGGAGCAAAAUAAAUUUUUGGAAUUUGUUAAAUCAACUUGAUCAAGCAUAAACAAUCUUCCCAACAGACCACAAUAUUAUGAUUUGCGUAAGAUUACCACUUGGGAAAAAAUUCAGCAAAUUCGACGUUGGGUUUUCGAUAUCAUUUUUAAUCUGAAAACCCUCUAAUAACCAUCAAGGACACAGGCCAUCAAGCCUAAGCGUAUUCUCCGGCAGAUUUAUUUGAUUUUCGAAAAAGCAUAAAUUUCUAUUAAAGUAUAUAUUAUUUUCUGUUUUUUUAAUAACUUAAAAUCGCCUGUGCAAAUCAGCGAUCACGUUUCCGUCCAAAUUAUCGCGUUGCUUUUCAUUUUUCAUUUGCUUUUGCGAGUAGUAGAUGUUUUAGCGUUUCUUAUAGAAUGGAUAACAUGAAAAAAGGAAACAAAAUUAAAUGUUCGAUUUAAAGCCAUGCGUUUUGAUGAAGCAAUAUGUGAAGCUGAGCAUAACAGUAGUGAAACUGACACUGAUAAAAGCUCAUCGAAUGAUGGCAACUUACAUAUCUAGAAAAAUCUGAACAAUUUUGUGACUUUGUUUUAUUAUAUUUCUAUAUUUAUAUUAACAUAGUGUUUGUUGUAUGUUUUGUUAUAUCA